UACGUAGGGUGCGAGCGUUGUCCGGAAUUACUGGGCGUAAAGAGCUCGUAGGUGGUUUGUCGCGUCGUCUGUGAAAUUCCGGGGCUUAACUCCGGGCGUGCAGGCGAUACGGGCAUAACUUGAGUACUGUAGGGGAGACUGGAAUUCCUGGUGUAGCGGUGAAAUGCGCAGAUAUCAGGAGGAACACCGGUGGCGAAGGCGGGUCUCUGGGCAGUAACUGACGCUGAGGAGCGAAAGCAUGGGGAGCGAACAGGAUUAGAUACCCUGGUA
rnacentral:rRNA from 1 species